AUUGAACGCUGGCGGCAGGCUUAACACAUGCAAGUCGAGCGGAGAUGAGGUGCUUGCACCUUAUCUUAGCGGCGGACGGGUGAGUAAUGCUUAGGAAUCUGCCUAUUAGUGGGGGACAACAUUCCGAAAGGAAUGCUAAUACCGCAUACGCCCUACGGGGGAAAGCAGGGGAUCUUCGGACCUUGCGCUAAUAGAUGAGCCUAAGUCGGAUUAGCUAGGUGGUGGGGUAAAGGCCUACCAAGGCGACGAUCUGUAGCGGGUCUGAGAGGAUGAUCCGCCACACUGGGACUGGGACACGGCCCAGACUCCUACGGGAGGCAGCAGUGGGGAACAUUGGACAAUGGGCGGAAGCCUGAUCCAGCCAUGCCGCGUGUGUGAAGAAGGCCUUUUGGUUGUAAAGCACUUUAAGCGAGGAGGAGGCUACCUGGAUUAAUACUCUAGGAUAGUGGACGUUACUCGCAGAAUAAGCACCGGCUAACUCUGUGCCAGCAGCCGCCGUAACAC
rnacentral:rRNA from 1 species